GUGUAGCAAGCGCAGGGGAAGCAUCCUCCUCAUCCUUGCCUCUGGCUUCUUUCUCAUUGAGAGUCUUCUGCAGCGCCUUCCUGUAUAAAUGCUACUUGGACUUCACACUCUCCUGCCUUGGACUGGCCAGAGAACUGCAAGACCUUUUGGCUGCUGGCAAGAUGAUGCUUCAUUUUACUCUUGGGAAUAGAGAAUAGUUGGCACAGUAAACUAUGCAACCAAUCAGUUAUGGUAAAUCAGCAUGGACAGUGAUGGCUUUCUGAUGGCUUCAAAAGAAAGAGACUUCUUCCCCAGGAUCAAUGGU